AUUUUAACUGAAGGGGGCUAUUUCUGCUCCUACCUGCAUAUAAGAAAAGCGCGGAUUACAUACUUAAGAAGAUCUCUUGAAUGAGAAGUUUUUCAAAAACAAAAAAUUAGAUAA